rnacentral:rRNA from 1 species
ACGCUGGCGGCGUGCCUAAUACAUGCAAGUAGAACGCUGUAGGAGGAGCUUGCUCUUCUGGAUGAGUUGCGAACGGGUGAGUAACGCGUAGGUAACCUGCCUGGUAGCGGGGGAUAACUAUUGGAAACGAUAGCUAAUACCGCAUAACAGUAAAUGUUGCAUGACAUUUACUUAAAAGGUGCAAUUGCAUCACUACCAGAUGGACCUGCGUUGUAUUAGCUAGUUGGUGGGGUAACGGCUCACCAAGGCGACGAUACAUAGCCGACCUGAGAGGGUGAUCGGCCACACUGGGACUGAGACACGGCCCAGACUCCUACGGAAGGCAGCAGUAGGGAAUCUUCGGCAAUGGACGGAAGUCUGACCGAGCAACGCCGCGUGAGUGAAGAAGGUUUUCGGAUCGUAAAGCUCUGUUGUAAGAGAAGAACGAGUGUGAGAGUGGAAAGUUCACACUGUGACGGUAUCUUACCAGAAAGGGAUGGCUAACUACGUGCCAGCAGCCGCGGUAAUACGUAGGUCCCGAGCGUUGUCCGGAUUUAUUGGGCGUAAAGCGAGCGCAGGCGGUUAGAUAAGUCUGAAGUUAAAGGCUGUGGCUUAACCAUAGUACGCUUUGGAAACUGUUUAACUUGAGUGCAAGAGGGGAGAGUGGAAUUCCAUGUGUAGCGGUGAAAUGCGUAGAUAUAUGGAGGAACACCGGUGGCGAAAGCGGCUCUCUGGCUUGUAACUGACGCUGAGGCUCGAAAGCGUGGGGAGCAAACAGGAUUAGAUACCCUGGUAGUCCACGCCGUAAACGAUGAGUGCUAGGUGUUAGACCCUUUCCGGGGUUUAGUGCCGCAGCUAACGCAUUAAGCACUCCGCCUGGGGAGUACGACCGCAAGGUUGAAACUCAAAGGAAUUGACGGGGGCCCG